UACGUAGGGGGCAAGCGUUGUCCGGAUUUAUUGGGCGUAAAGAGCUCGUAGGCGGUUUGGUAAGUCGGAUGUGAAAUCUCCAGGCUCAACCUGGAGGGGUCAUUCGAUACUGCCAUGACUAGAGUUCGGUAGGGGAGUGUGGAAUUCCUGGUGGAGCGGUGAAAUGCGCAGAGAUCAGGAGGAACACCCGUAGCGAAGGCGGCACUCUGGGCCGAUACUGACGCUGAGGGCAGCGAAAGCGUGGGGAGCGAACAGG
rnacentral:rRNA from 1 species